rnacentral:tRNA from 1 species
GUUUCCGUGGUGUAAUGGUUAUCACAUGCGCCUCACACGCGAAAGGUCCCCGGUGCGAUCCCCGGCGGAAACA